CCUACGGGUGGCAGCAGUGGGGAAUAUUGCACAAUGGGGGAAACCCUGAUGCAGCGACGCCGCGUGAGUGAAGAAGUAAUUCGUUAUGUAAAGCUCUAUCAUCAGGGAAGAAAAUGACGGUACCUGAGUAAGAAGCCCCGGCUAACUACGUGCCAGCAGCCGCGGGAAUACGUAGGGGGCAAGCGUUAUCCGGAUUUACUGGGUGGAAAGGGAGCGUAGACGGGAGUGCAAGUCAGGAGUGAAAGGCGGGGGCUCAACCCCCGGACUGCUCUUGAAACUGUACGGCUGGAGUGCAGGAGAGGUAAGUGGAAUUCCUGGUGUAGCGGUGAAAUGCGUAGAUAUUAAGAGGAACACCAGUGGCGAAGGCGGCUUACUGGACUGUAACUGACGUUGAGGCUCGAAAGCGUGGGGAGCAAACAGGAUUAGAUACCCCUGUAGUC
rnacentral:rRNA from 1 species